ensembl:snRNA U1 U1 spliceosomal RNA
ACACUUACCUAGAAGGGGAGAAAACAUGAUCAUGAAGGUAUUUUCCUAGGGCAAGGCUUAUCCAUUGCACUCUGGAUGUGCUGGCUCCUGUGAUUUCCCUAAAUGUGGGAAACUCGACCAUAUAAUUAGUGGUAGUGGGAGAAUGCAUUUGAGCUUUCACCUG